GACGAACGCUGGCGGCGUGCUUAACACAUGCAAGUCGAACGGAAAGGCCCUGCUUUUGUGGGGUGCUCGAGUGGCGAACGGGUGAGUAACACGUGAGUAACCUGCCCUUGACUUUGGAAUAACUUCAGGAAACUGGGGCUAAUACCGGAUAGGAGCUCCUGCUGCAUGGUGGGGGGUGGAAAGUUUCGGCGGGUGGGGAUGGACUCGCGGCUUAUCAGCUUGUUGGUGGGGGAGUGGCUUACCAAGGCUUUGACGGGUAGCCGGCCUGGGAGGGUGACCGGCCACAUUGGGCCUGAGAUACGGACCAGUCUCCUACGGGAGACAGCAGUGGGGAAUAUUGCACAAUGGGCGGAAGCCUGAUGCAGCAACGCCGCGUGCGGGAUGACGGCCUUCGGGUUGUAAACCGCUUUCGCCUGUGACGAAGCGUGAGUAACGGUAAUGGGUAAAGAAGCACCGGCUAACUACGUG
rnacentral:rRNA from 1 species